CAUCUCAACUGGGGUUUGGCCGGGUUUGUUGCCUGCUCAGGAAAAUCGGGCAGAGGGUUUCCCUAUGCUCCUAGCCACCCUCCUCCCAUCAUGACCUCCCCCAUUAUGGAGAGCAGCAUCACCCAGACUCCAAGGGCCCGGCGUGUGCUUGAAUCCUUCAGUCCUCAGCUAUGUGGCUGGUCCAGCGGCCACUCCAGGAGGCAUUCAGUUGUUGGCUACACAGAUAAGACCAGAGAUGUGUACAUUUGCUACAAUUGCUGCACCAGGUGGCUCUAUAGGCAAAUGUUUCCAAUAUUCAAUGUACGCAAGGACUAGGAGAUCCCUAAGGUCCUACCAGCCUCAUCACUGUGCCAUCAAGACCCUUGCAUACUUCAGCUCCUCCGAUAUUAGAGGAGCCCCAGUGACUGAAAAUGGAGAAGGAAAUGGCAAUAGACUCCAGUAUUCUUGCCUGGACAAUUCCAUGGACAGAGGAGCCUGGCGGGCUACAGUCCACGGGGUCGCAGGGAGUUGAACACAACUUGAGAGUACACGCAACAAGUGACUGAAAAAGCAACACUGUAGCUUGCUGUAGCUUGACUGCAUUAGGUCACUAUCGUUCCCAGCUGGGGGUGGGGUGAGGUGGGUAUUAGCUUUACCAGCAAUGGCUUUCCUGCCUUCUCCAUCUGGUGACUUUGCAAAUUAAGGACCAUGCCCCCUUCCCAAAGAUGUCCGCUUCUCAGCCACCCUGUCUUGUGAGCAGAACUGAGCCCUCUUGAGUGUGGGGCACCUGGGACGAAUGAUGGAAAUGUUUCUACCUGAGCCCUUGGCAUUAUGAGGGCAGGUGGGUUCCGAAAAGGCCACACUGGGACUGUUUUCUUUGGUGGCCAAAGUCACUUUCUCCCAGGAAAAUCCAGGCUGACUCCAUGCAAGCAUCUGACCGUGAGUCCUCCUGCCUUUGGACACUUGGCUGGGAUAGACUCUCUCCAGCAGGAUGCCCAUCAAGCAAGUUGAGUGACAUCUUCCUUUCUUUUUACCUCCUCCAGCCUCUUCUUAAUGGCAGCAGCAGACGGGUACUGACACCAGCUCCCUGACACCCUGUCAGACUUGCUGAACAAGUGUGGGACAGGCAGGCCCAGGGAAAUCGUGGUAUUUUUAGACCCUGGCUUGUGGAAACUUUUUCUCCAGGUUGUGAUGUUUCUGAUAACCUCUGCUUACUCUAAAGGACUCAACUAUCUUUAUCUCUGUAGAAAAAGAGGAUUGAAGAGUCCAAAGCUACCUUCA
ensembl:lncRNA